GACGAACGCUGGCGGCGUGCCUAAUACAUGCAAGUCGAGCGAAUCUUUGGGAGCUUGCUCCCAAAGAUUAGCGGCGGACGGGUGAGUAACACGUGGGCAACCUGCCUAUAAGACUGGGAUAACUUCGGGAAACCGGAGCUAAUACCGGAUAAUCCUUUUCCUCUCAUGAGGGGAAGCUGAAAGACGGUUUCGGCUGUCACUUAUAGAUGGGCCCGCGGCGCAUUAGCUAGUUGGNGAGGU
rnacentral:rRNA from 1 species